rnacentral:rRNA from 1 species
UCCUACGGGGGGCAGCAGUAGGGAAUUUUCGUCAAUGGGCGCAAGCCUGAACGAGCAAUACCGCGUGAACGAGGAAGGUCUUCGGAUCGUAAAGUUCUGUUGAAGGGGAAAAAGAGCGGAGAGAGGAAAUGGUCUCCGAUUGAUAUUACCCUUCGAGGAAGUCACGGCUAACUACGUGCCAGCAGCCGCGGUAAUACGUAGGUGGCGAGCGUUAUCCGGAAUGAUUGGGCGUAAAGGGUGCGUAGGCGGCCUGCUAAGUCUGGAGUGAAAGGUACCGGCUCAACCGGUACAGGCUCUGGAAACUG